UACGUAGGGUGCAAGCGUUAUCCGGAUUUAUUGGGCGUAAAGGGCUCGUAGGCGGUUCGUCGCGUCCGGUGUGAAAGUCCAUCGCUUAACGGUGGAUCCGCGCCGGGUACGGGCGGGCUUGAGUGCGGUAGGGGAGACUGGAAUUCCCGGUGUAACGGUGGAAUGUGUAGAUAUCGGGAAGAACACCAAUGGCGAAGGCAGGUCUCUGGGCCGUUACUGACGCUGAGGGGCGAAAGCGUGGGGAGCGAACAGG
rnacentral:rRNA from 1 species